rnacentral:lncRNA from 1 species
UUUUUUUUUUUUUUUUUGUUUUUUUAGGGCCACACCAGCAGCAUAAGCAGGUUCCUAGGCUAGGAGUCAAAUUGGAGUUGUAGCUGCUGACCUAAACCACAGUCACAGAUGCGGCUCGGAUCCUGCAUUGCUGUGACUGUGGCAUAGGCCUGCGGCUACAGCUCUGAUUCACCCCCUAGCCUGGGAACUUCCGUAUGCUGCGGGUGCGGGCCUAAAAAGCGAGGGAAAAAAAAAAAAAAGGAAAGCAUGUGGUAUGUUAGAGGACGUAUGGGCUGUGGGAAAGAACAAUUAGAGCAGGGAAAGAGAGAAAGGAAAGAAUACUGGAGGAGGGACAGGCUGCAAAAUUAAAUAGCAAAGGCCUCAGUCAGAGAGGGCUGUUCAAGUAAAGACUCGUAGGAGACGGAAGAGUUGGCCAAGUGGGUAUUCAGGAGAGAGUGUUUUAGGCCAGGGGCACAGCCAAUGCAGAGGCUCUGAGCUGAGAUCAUCCCUGGUGAGUUUGAAGAGGCUGGAGCAGAGGGAUUUCAGGGGAGGGAACAAAAAGAGAAGGGCCACGGGUGACCUGAGCCCAUUCUGUCCAGCUUUAGGUCACAGAGAGGAGUUUGUCUUUUCCUUUAAGUGAAUCAGGAAAUUAUGGUAAGAAUUUUCACCGGAACGUGCAAGUCCAGCUGCUAUUUGACUUACCUUUUUUCUUUUUUUCCUUUUUAAGGCUGCACCUGUGGCAUAUGGAAACUCCCAGGCUAGGAGUUGGAUUAGAGCCUCAGCUGCCAGCCUACUCCAGAGCCACAGCAACACUGAAAUCUGAGCCACAUCUUUAACCUAUGCCACAGCUUACAAUGCUGGAUCCUUAACCCACUGAGCAAGGCCAGGAAUCGAACUCAUAUCCUCACAGACAUAUGUUGGGUUCUUAACCUGCUGAGCCGCAACAGGAACUCGACUUAUCUUUUGAUAGUGUGAGCAUGAAUAGUUUGCUGCCAGGUUAAGAACAAAUGGGGGCAGGGUCAAGGGCAAAAUUAGGUUUAUAGUAGGAGGCUGUGGCAAUAAUGCAAUUGAGCAUCUCUGGUGACCCAGACCUUGAAGGUAGGAGGAAAGAGAGAGAGAUAUUUAGAUUCUAGAAACAUCCUGAAGGCAGGAUUAGCACCCGCUCUUAAAAACUGAGAAAUCUGGCUUUCUUGCCUUAGAACUGACAACUCUGGGCCUGUGUUCCCAUGGGGUGAGAACCAGCUGCUGCUUCUCACCCUCUGAAUGCGUCCGAAAGCACCUGGCAGAUAGCCCCAGUAGAUACCCUUCAAGGUUCACCUCCAGCCUGGAGGGCACUUGCCUUUGCUUGCCCUGAAUUGAUCUCCCAGAGUGCCCUCUGCUCCUCUCCCUGUUUCUCUUCACUGCCCCCUGGUGGUUUUUAAAGUGAUAAAUCAGGAGUUCCUUGGUGGCCUGGCAGUUAAGGAUGGUGCAUUGCCAUUGCAGUGCUUUGGGUUUGAUUCCUGGCCCGGGAACUUCUGUGUGCCUUGGGCACAGCCAAAAUAAAGUAAAAAGAUGAAUCAAAUCACUUGCUCUACUUAACAUGUUCACUUCUCUCAAGAUAAAGACAAACUUAGCGUGGUCCCACUUCUCCCCCACAGCCUUUGCCCUACACAUUUUCUGCUCUGACCUUAACGAUUUCUCUCUCUUCUUUUACUCCCUACUCUCCAUCCCUCCUCAGGACCUUUGCACAUGCUGGUUCAGCUGCCUGGGACCGAACCGGCACUCCUCUCCCCUCCUGACCUCAUUGACCCUGUCCUUCACAUCUCAGGAUCAUCUCUUGUCAUGGUCAAAGUUUGAUCCUAGUUUUGUAAUUAUUCAUUUUAUAAUUCCCUCUCCCAUUAGAUCAUAAACCUCAUGAGGGCAGCAAGAAGCUGAUCUAUUUUUUCUUAGAAUUGUAUCCCCAGAUCUAGCACAGAGUACAUACUUACUUAUUCAUUCAUUCAUUUCUUCAUUUAACCCCCCUCCACAAAAAAAAUUCAUUGAGCAUCUACUAUGUGCCGGGCCUUGUUCUGUGCGCUGAGAAUGAACAAGGCAGAUGUAGACAUCACUCUAUGGUAGCUUCCACGGGGGUGGGGUGGGAGUUGGGGGGAGAUAAUAAACAAGUACAUAAAUGUCAGUGAUAAGACCUAUGAAGGAAGAGAAAAGUAAGAUCAUGGAAGAGAAUAUGAUAGGCAUUCUUUUAUGUCAGGUGGUCCGGGAAGACCUCUUGGAGGAAGUGAUGUGGAGUCAAGGCCUGAAUCAGGAGUUCCCUUUGUGGUUCAGCAGGUUAAGAAUCCAACAUAGUAUCCAUAAUGAGAUGGGUUUAAUCCCUGACCUCACUAAGUGGGUUAAGGAUCCAGUGUUGCCACAAGCUGUGGCAUAAGUUGCUGAUGCAGCUUGGAUCCUGUGUUGCUGUGGCUGUGGCGUCGGCUGGCAGCUGCAGCUCUGAUUCAACCCCUAGCCUGGAAUCCUCCAUAUGCCUGGGUGUGGCCAUCAAAAGACAAAAGAAAAGGCCUGAAUCAAGUGAGGGAGCAGCUCCAAGGACAUGGAGGGUUGAGGCCUGGGGCUGAAUGAACAUCAGCCCAUGAACUUCGUGCCUGGGUCAGUUUUGUCUUUUGUCUUUUUUUUGUUGUUGUUGUUGCUAUUUCUUGGGCCGAUCCCACGGCAUGUGGAGGUUCCCAGGCUAGGGGUCCAAUCGGAGCUGUAGCCAUCUGCCUACGCCAGAGCCACAGCAACACGGGAUCCGAGCCGCGUCUGCGACCUACACCACAGCUCAUGGCAACGCCGUAUCGUUAACCCACUGAGCAAGGGCAGGGACCGAACCCACAACCUCAUGGUUCCUAGUCGGAUUCGUUAACCACUGCGCCACGACGGGAACUCCCCUGGGUCAGUUUUGAAUGCCUGGUGGGUGAAUAUCCUGGGACUGGCUGUGCCUGCACUCAUGGUGGCUCUGUGUGUUUGUGCAGCCUCUGGGAGAAGCUGCGGGCCAUCCUGCAGGCCACCUACAUCCACUCCAGGACCCUGGCUAGCUUUGUGUUCACCUACAAGGGACUCUGCUCCCUGCAGUCCCAUCUGCAGGGCAAGACCUUCCAGGUGCACUCAUUCACUGCUGCCUUCAUCGGGGGUCUGCUGCUGUUUGGAGAAAACAAUAGCAUCAACAACCAGGUAAAGAUCCUCCCCCAGGAUGGGGGUUAAGAGAGGCAUGGCAGCGUGGGACAGGGUUCAGGUAUAGAGUUGGGGGUGGGAGUCAAAGAGGACAAGCCUUUGGCCCCCUUCCAUGCCAGUCCCUGUGUGACCUUAAGAUCACUUCCAGGGAGUUCCCUGGUGGUCUAGUGGUUAGGACUUGGCACUUUCACUGCCACGGCCUGGUUUCCAUCACUGGUCUGGGAACUGAGAUCCCACAGCAAGCUGCGGCACACCAUA